rnacentral:rRNA from 1 species
UGUGAACAUACCUUUACGUUGCUUCGGCGGAGCCGCCCCGGCGCCCGGAACCUCUUCGGUUUCGCGGCCCGGAACCAGGCGCCCGCCGGAGGCCACAAACUCUUUUGUUUUUACAGUUUCUUCUGAGUGUGCCGCAAGGCAAAAUACAAAUGAAUCAAAACUUUCAACAACGGAUCUCUUGGUUCUGGCAUCGAUGAAGAACGCAGCGAAAUGCGAUAAGUAAUGUGAAUUGCAGAAUUCAGUGAAUCAUCGAAUCUUUGAACGCACAUUGCGCCCGCCAGAAUUCUGGCGGGCAUGCCUGUUCGAGCGUCAUUUCAACCCUCGAGCUCCCCUCUUUUGGGAGAGCCCGGCGUUGGGGACCCGGCGCUAACACCGCCGGCCCCGAAAUGGAGUGGCGGCCCGUCCGCGGCGACCUCUGCGUAGUAAUAUCCACUCGCACCGGGACCCGGGCGCGGCCACGCCGUUAAACACCCCACCUUCCGAAUGUUGACCUCGAAUCAGGUAGGAAUACCCGCUGAACUUAAGCAUAUC